UGGGGAAUUUUGGACAAUGGGCGAAAGCCUGAUCCAGCAAUGCCGCGUGUGUGAAGAAGGCCUUCGGGUUGUAAAGCACUUUUGUCCGGAAAGAAAUCCUUGGCUCUAAUACAGUCGGGGGAUGACGGUACCGGAAGAAUAAGCACCGGCUAACUACGUGCCAGCAGCCGCGGUAAUACGUAGGGUGCAAGCGUUAAUCGGAAUUACUGGGCGUAAAGCGUGCGCAGGCGGUUUGCUAAGACCGAUGUGAAAUCCCCGGGCUCAACCUGGGAACUGCAUUGGUGACUGGCAGGCUAGAGUAUGGCAGAGGGGGGUAGAAUUCCACGUGUAGCAGUGAAAUGCGUAGAGAUGUGGAGGAAUACCGAUGGCGAAGGCAGCCCCCUGGGCCAAUACUGACGCUCAUGCACGAAAGCGUGGGGAGCAAACAGGAUUAGAUACCCUGGUAGUCCACGCCCUAAACGACGUCAACUAGUUGUUGGGGAUUCAUUUCCUUAGUAACGUAGCUAACGCGUGAAGUUGACCGCCUGGGGAGUACGGUCGCAAGAUUAAAACUCAAAGGAAUUGACGGGGUCAUAGCUGUUUCCU
rnacentral:rRNA from 1 species